rnacentral:rRNA from 1 species
ACGGGUGAGUAACGCGUGGGAAUCUACCGUACCCUACGGAAUAGCUCUGGGAAACUGGAAGUAAUACCGUAUACGCCCGCAAGGGGAAAGAUUUAUCGGGGUAUGAUGAGCCCGCGUUGGAUUAGCUGGUUGGUGGGGUAAAGGCCUACCAAGGCGACGAUCCAUUGCUGGUCUGAGAGGAUGAUCAGCCACAUUGGGACUGAGACACGGCCCAAACUCCUACGGGAGGCAGCAGUGGGGAAUAUUGGACAAUGGGCGCAAGCCUGAUCCAGCCAUGCCGCGUGAGUGAUGAAGGUCUUAGGAUUGUAAAGCUCUUUCACCGGAGAAGAUAAUGACGGUAUCCGGAGAAGAAGCCCCGGCUAACUUCGUGCCAGCAGCCGCGGUAAUACGAAGGGGGCUAGCGUUGUUCGGAAUUACUGGGCGUAAAGCGCACGUGGGCGGGUAUUUAAGUCAGGGGUGGAAUCCCAGAGCUCAACUCUGGAACUGCCUUUGAUACUGGGUAUCUUGAGUAUGGAAGAGGUAAGUGGAAUUGCGAGUGUAGAGGUGAAAUUCGUAGA